rnacentral:rRNA from 1 species
AGCGAACGCUGGCGGCAGGCCUAACGCAUGCAAGUCGAACGGAUCCUUCGGGAUUAGUGGCGGACGGGUGAGUAACACGUGGGAACGUGCCCUUUGGUUCGGAACAACUCAGGGAAACUUGAGCUAAUACCGGAUGUGCCCUUCGGGGGAAAGAUUUAUCGCCAUUGGAGCGGCCCGUGUCUGAUUAGCUAGUUGGUGAGGUAAAGGCUCACCAAGGCGACGAUCAGUAGCUGGUCUGAGAGGAUGAUCAGCCACAUUGGGACUGAGACACGGCCCAAACUCCUACGGGAGGCAGCAGUGGGGAAUCUUGCGCAAUGGGCGAAAGCCUGACGCAGCCAUGCCGCGUGAAUGAUGAAGGUCUUAGGAUUGUAAAAUUCUUUCACCGGGGACGAUAAUGACGGUACCCGGAGAAGAAGCCCCGGCUAACUUCGUGCCAGCCGCCGCGGUAACAC